rnacentral:rRNA from 1 species
AUUGAACGCUGGCGGUAUGCUUAACACAUGCAAGUCGAACGGUAGCAGGCCUUCGGGCGCUGACGAGUGGCGGACGGGUGAGUAACGCGUAGGAAUCUGCCUCAUAGUGGGGGACAACGUGUGGAAACGCACGCUAAUACCGCAUACGCCCUACGGGGGAAAGCGGGGGACCUUUGGGCCUCGCGCUAUGAGAUGAGCCUGCGUUAGAUUAGCUAGUGGGUGGGGUAAAGGCCUACCAAGGCGACGAUCUAUAGCGGGUCUGAGAGGACGAUCAGCCACACUGGGACUGAGACACGGCCCAGACUCCUACGAGAGGCAGCAGUGGGGAAUAUUGGACAAUGGGCGCAAGCCUGAUCCAGCAAUACCGCGUGUGUGAAGAAGGCCCUAGGGUUGUAAAGCACUUUCAAUAGGGAGGAAAACCUGCCGGUCAAUACCCGGUAGCUUGACAUUACCUAUACAAGAAGCACCGGCUAACUCCGUGCCAGCCGCCGCCGUAACAC